UGCAAGUCGAGCGGACUUUGCCUUCGGGGGAAGUUAGCGGCGGACGGGUGAGUAACACGUGGGUAACCUGCCCAUAAGACUGGGAUAACAUUCGGAAACGAAUGCUAAUACCGGAUACGCGAAUCGGUCGCAUGAUCGAAUCGGGAAAGGCGGAGCAAUCUGCCACUUAUGGAUGGACCCGCGGCGCAUUAGCUAGUUGGUGGGGUAACGGCUCACCAAGGCGACAAUGCGUAGCCGACCUGAGAGGGUGAUCGGCCACACUGGGACUGAGACACGGCCCAAACUCCUACGGGAGGCAGCAGUGGGGAAUCUUCCGCAAUGGACGAAAGUCUGACGGAGCAACGCCGCGUGAGUGAUGAAGGUUUUCGGAUCGUAAAGCUCUGUUGCCAGGGAAGAACGCUUGCGAGAGUAACUGCUCGCAAGGUGACGGUACCUGAGAAGAAAGCCCCGGCCCCCCUCCGUGCCAGCAGCCGCGGUAAUA
rnacentral:rRNA from 1 species